GUUGGAUUGCGUGGGCUGAACAAUCCGGACAUCGUGGCCACCGACGUUGACCCCCCGCCACCGGGACCCACGCACACCGACCACCACACUGGGAAGUGUCCUCUGCUCACUGUGGAAGCAGCAUGGAAGAACUGCAGCAACUCUGAUGGAAACGAGGACCUCCACGCUGUUGAACACAAACUGUUGUAGGCCUACUCAAACCGAGGCGGUCCCACUCGGUUAAAGAUCUCGUGGUCAAUGCGGCAGACCGCUGGACCUGGACGUCACCUUCUGCAGAUACUUCACUGCCCUCAGGAAUCCACGGAUAAC